UACAGAGGGUGCGAGCGUUAAUCGGAAUUACUGGGCGUAAAGGGCGCGUAGGCGGUAGAUUAAGUUAGAUGUGAAAUCCCUGGGCUUAACCUAGGAACUGCAUCUAAUACUGGUCUGCUAGAGUGCAGUAGAGGGUAGUGGAAUUUCCGGUGUAGCGGUGAAAUGCGUAGAUAUCGGAAGGAACACCAGUGGCGAAGGCGGCUACCUGAACUGACACUGACGCUGAGGCGCGAGAGCGUGGGGGAGCAAACAGGAUUAGAUACCCUGGUAGUCCACGCUGUAAACGAUGAGAACUAGAUGUUGGUAGGCUUGACCUAUUAGUAUCGAAGCUAACGCGAUAAGUUCUCCGCCUGGGGAGUACGGCCGCAAGGCUAAAACUCA
rnacentral:rRNA from 1 species